ACGAUGAAGCCCAGCUUGCUGGGUGGAUUAGUGGCGAACGGGUGAGUAACACGUGAGCAACCUGCCCCUGACUCUGGGAUAAGCGCUGGAAACGGCGUCUAAUACUGGAUAUGUCCCGUCACCGCAUGGUGUGCGGGUGGAAAGAUUUUUCGGUUGGGGAUGGGCUCGCGGCCUAUCAGCUUGUUGGUGAGGUAAUGGCUCACCAAGGCGUCGACGGGUAGCCGGCCUGAGAGGGUGACCGGCCACACUGGGACUGAGACACGGCCCAGACUCCUACGGGAGGCAGCAGUGGGGAAUAUUGCACAAUGGGCGGAAGCCUGAUGCAGCAACGCCGCGUGAGGGAUGACGGCCUUCGGGUUGUAAACCUCUUUUAGCAGGGAAGAAGCGAGAGUGACGGUACCUGCAGAAAAAGCACCGGCUAACUACGUGCCAGCAGCCGCGGUAAUACGUAGGGUGCAAGCGUUAUCCGGAAUUAUUGGGCGUAAAGAGCUCGUAGGCGGUCUGUCGCGUCUGCUGUGAAAUCCCGAGGCUCAACCUCGGGCUUGCAGUGGGUACGGGCAGACUAGAGUGCGGUAGGGGAGAUUGGAAUUCCUGGUGUAGCGGUGGAAUGCGCAGAUAUCAGGAGGAACACCGAUGGCGAAGGCAGAUCUCUGGGCCGUAACUGACGCUGAGGAGCGAAAGGGUGGGGAGCAAACAGGCUUAGAUACCCUGGUAGUCCACCCCGUAAACGUUGGGAACUAGUUGUGGGGUCCUUUCCACGGAUUCCGUGACGCAGCUAACGCAUUAAGUUCCCCGCCUGGGGAGUACGGCCGCAAGGCUAAAACUCAAAGGAAUUGACGGGGACCCGCACAAGCGGCGGAGCAUGCGGAUUAAUUCGAUGCAACGC
rnacentral:rRNA from 1 species